GACGAACGCUGGCGGCGUGCUUAACACAUGCAAGUCGAGCGGAAAGGCCCUUUCGGGGGUACUCGAGCGGCGAACGGGUGAGUAACACGUGAGUAAUCUGCCCCUGGCUUUGGGAUAGCCACCGGAAACGGGGAUUAAUACCGGAUACGACCACUUCUCGCAUGGGAUGGUGGUGGAAAGUUUUUCGGCCCGGGAUGUGCUCGCGGCCUAUCAGCUUGAUGGUGAGGUAAUGGCUCACCAUGGCUUCGACGGGUAGCCGGCCUGAGAGGGUGACUGGUCACACUGGGACUGAGACACGGCCCAGACUCCUACGGGAGGCAGCAGUGGGGAAUAUUGGACAAUGGGCGGAAGCCUGAUCCAGCAACGCCGCGUGAGGGAUGACGGCCUUCGGGUUGUAAACCUCUUUCAGCAGGGACGAAGCGCAAGUGACGGUACCUGCAGAAGAAGCACCGGCCAACUACGUGCCAGCCGCCGCCGUAA
rnacentral:rRNA from 1 species